rnacentral:tRNA from 1 species
GCACCCAUAGCUCAAUUGGAUAGAGCAUCUGACUACGGAUCAGAAGGUUUGAGGUUCAACUCCUCAUGGGUGCGCCA